rnacentral:rRNA from 1 species
GAUGAACGCUGGCGGCGUGCCUAAUACAUGCCAGUCGAGCGAACGGACGAGAAGCUUGCUUCUCUGAUGUUAGCGGCGGACGGGUGAGUAACACGUGGAUAACCUACCUAUAAGACUGGGAUAACUUCGGGAAACCGUAGCUAAUACCGGAUAAUAUUUUGAACCGCAUGGUUCAAAAGUGAAAGACGGUCUUGCUGUCACUUAUAGAUGGAUCCGCGCUGCAUUAGCUAGUUGGUAAGGUAACGGCUUACCAAGGCAACGAUGCAUAGCCGACCUGAGAGGGUGAUCGGCCACACUGGAACUGAGACACGGUCCAGACUCCUACGGGAGGCAGCAGUAGGGAAUCUUCCGCAAUGGGCGAAAGCCUGACGGAGCAACGCCGCGUGAGUGAUGAAGGUCUUCGGAUCGUAAAACUCUGUUAUUAGGGAAGAACAUAUAUGUAAGUAACUGUGCACAUCUUGACGGUACCUAAUCAGAAAGCCACGGCUAACUACGCG